rnacentral:lncRNA from 1 species
UUUUACAUAAAAAAGUUCACCCCAUUCCCCGCUCUUCAUUUAUAACCUUAGAUCGAAUUGUCACACCAUAACUUUCAUAAUAAAGAACAUCUACUCUCUUAUCUAAAACAUUUCUAUGAUUCUAUACCCACUAUUAUUGUAACGCCCCGAGUCUGUACCCUGGACGCUACACGGAGCUCAUAAUCUCGAAGGACCACAAGCCAACCCAUGAUAGGUACCUGCUG